AUUUACAGCCAUAUCACACUGAACAUGCCCAAUCUUGUUUGAUCUUAGAAGCUAAGUAGGGGUGGGCCUAGCUAAGUACUGAGAUGAGAGAAGGAGUGAGGGACAUAUAAACA
rnacentral:rRNA from 14 species